rnacentral:rRNA from 1 species
UACGUAGGGUGCAAGCGUUGUCCGGAAUUAUUGGGCGUAAAGAGUUCGUAGGCGGCCUGUCGCGUCGGAUGUGAAAGCCCGGGGCUUAACCCCGGGUCUGCAUUCGAUACGGGCAGGCUAGAGUGUGGUAGGGGAGAUCGGAAUUCCUGGUGUAGCGGUGAAAUGCGCAGAUAUCAGGAGGAACACCGGUGGCGAAGGCGGAUCUCUGGGCCAUUACUGACGCUGAGGAGCGAAAGCGUGGGGAGCGAACAGG